rnacentral:miRNA from 1 species
UGGGCCUGACAUGGUGCUGG